CGCCUGUUUAUUAAAAACAUGUCUUUUUGAUUAUAAUUUAAGGUUUAAUCUGCUCAAUGAUUAUUUAAAUUGCCGCAGUAUUUUGACUGUGCAAAGGUAGCAUAAUAAUUAGUUUCUUUAUUGGGAACUGGAAUGAAUGAUUGGACGAGAAAAUUUCUGUCUCUUUAUUAUUUUAAUUGAAUUUUACUUUUAAGUUAAAAGGCUUAAAUUUUAUUAGAGGACGAGAAGACCCUAUAGAGUUUAAUUUUUAUUUAAAUAAUUAUUUUUAGUAUUUAUAUAUAUUAUUUAAAUAAAAAUUUAGUUGGGGUGACUAAAAGAUAAGAAUAACUCUUUUAAUUUUUAUCAAUUAUUUUUGAUUAUAAAAUCUUUAUUUUUAAUUUUAAAAUAAAUUACCUUAGGGAUAACAGCGUAAUUCUUUUUUAAAGUUCUUAUUAAAAGAAGAGUUUGCGACCUCGAUGUUGGAUUAAAAUUAAUUUUAGGUGUAGAAGCUUGAAAAUUAAGUCUGUUCGACUUUUAAAAUUUUACAUGAUCUGAGUUUAAACCGGUGUGAGCCAGGUUGGUUUCUAUCCUUAAUUAUAUAUUAUACUUUAGUACGAAAGG
rnacentral:rRNA from 1 species